UCUGUUGGUGGCCAUGGUAACCAGCCGGCCUGCUGGACUGUCUCUUGAGGGCAGUACCACAUCUACGUCCAUAGCACAUAGAGCAAUGUCUGGCACGUACAUUGAAUAAAAGAGUCAAUCAACGGAGAAACCAUGCAUCAUUUGAAUGACUUCACAGUCCAGAGAGUUCUGGCUUACUCAUCAUGCUAUUACUCCCUGCCAAGGUAGCUUCACCUACAUUAUGAAAAUAAUGUGUGCAUCUGGCUAAAGAAUCCAAACAGCUCAGAAAAGUGCAAAACACAAAGCAGAAAUCUCCUUUCCCUGCUCUGUCCUUGUCUCCCAUCCCGCGAGAAAAAGUUCACUGACUCCUGCUUUGCAGCAUUGAUCGCCAUCUAACUCACUAGAUAAGGCCUGUUACACGCAAGGGAGAUUUGGUGCCACCUCGCGGGAUUCAGGAGAGUAGUGGGGCGGAAUGUCACCGACUGCUGAGACCGUUGGGAGAGACAACCUGAGGAGCAUCUGGAGGCAGGAGUCAUGGAAAUGGUUGGUAGUAAAGGUCAAGAUCACAUUGGGGGAGAGCUGAAAUCGAAUAACAUUAUCUGAUACUGUGGUGCGAGAACAUGGACAUCCGAGGGAGAGAAUGUUUGGGUUUGGGUUGGAGUCCUUUCCCUGUCAUGUAUCCACUCACAACCUUAGCGAGUAAAUGACUUUUCUGAGUUUC